rnacentral:rRNA from 1 species
GACGAACGCUGGCGGCGUGCUUAACACAUGCAAGUCGAACGAAGUGGCGAACGGGUGAGUAACGCGUAACCCACCUGCCCUUCAGAGGGGUACAACAGUUGGAAAAGACUGCUAAUACCGCAUACUGAAGGAGGGGAUUGCGUUUGAUUAGCUAGUGGGGGGGGUAGCGGCCCACCAAGGCGAUGAUCAGUCGCCGGUCUGAGAGGAUGAGCGGCCACAUUGGGACGUAGACACGGCCCAGACUCCUACGGGAGGCAGCAGUGGGGAAUCUUCCGCAAUGGACGAAAGUCUGACGGAGCAACGCCGCGUGAGUGAUGACGGCCUUCGGGUUGUAGAGCUCUGUUAAUCGGGACGCGGUACCGGAAUAGAAAGCCACGGCUAACUACGUGCCAGCAGCCGCGGUAAUUC